GGAAUCAGAAGUUUUACAGCAUUUUUCUGAAGGUUCCUCUUGAAGAAAUCUUGUACAGGAGAAAAAUGCGUCCAUGGGAAGGAUCAUAAGUUUGUUACUUGAAUUACAAAUGAGAGCAGUCCAGUUGAAAUAUUCAUUACUUAAUGUGGCAUAAUUAAGGGCUUCCAAAAUAAAAAUGUCUUCAUAUCUUCAGGCAUCCUGCAUUUCCAGAAGGCAUCCAAAGUUGGUCCAGGCUGUUACAAAGAGCAGUUAAAAAAAAACAUGUGGUUUUGAUGUGGCAGAUUGAACCUGUCUGAUUUAUGGCAGUUUGGAGUGUUCACUGCAUGUGCGAAAGGUGCAAGCUAAAUAUUAUCUGCCUUUUUGCAAAGCAUUUAAUUCAAUACUGGGAAAGCAGCAGUUGGCAGUCUGAUUCUCCUCUACCAGAUGAUGACUAUACUCCUCAAAUCAAAAUCAAGCUACCAGUUCUAUAGACUCUUCUCACAGCAGAUUGUGUCAAUAAAAGAACUCUGAAGAAGUGCUGGGAAUAGCAAGAUCAGCCACAUCAUCAUCUGUGGAGAGAGUGGUCAAGCAUUGGAACAGACUGUGCUGGGAAGUGGUGGAGUCUGUCCACACCUCUAGAGGUGUUAAAGAG